rnacentral:lncRNA from 1 species
CAGGUGAAUUUUUUAAAGAUUUUAUUUUAUUAUAAAAUGUUUGCUUAAAGAACAGGAAUUACAAUCCAGCAUUUGUUCCAUUGAUGCUGGAAAAGUCAUUGAAGUAUUUGGUAAAAUUAGGAUUUGAACAGAGCAAAUGAUUUAACACGUCAGUUACUACAUUAGCAGAAAGUUAUUUGGAGAAUAGAAUGCACAUAUUAUUAAAGCCAUUUCACUUUAAUCUCAAGUUUAUAUCAAAGAUUUAUUGUAGCAAAACCUGGAAUUAUGUUUAUCAGGAAAUAAUCGUUCGUUUACAGUCUAAGAAACAGAAAAGUCCAAAAGAUGAGUUGUCAUUUUAAGUUCCCACAAAUGUAUUUAUUCACUAAACCCUGAGUUAGACAUGAUCGGGGGUGGUAGGUAUUCAUUAUGGGUAAUUAAUCACAUGUAGAUGAAGCUCAGGGUAAACCGUAACAGGGUGCAUAGUUUGCAUUGACCGUUUGAGGAGCUCACUUUUCGUGUUAAUGUGAUGCCAUUCUAGAUAUAGAGAGCCUCCUUCAGUACCUUUACUGAGCUUGUUCACUGUUUAAAUCCCUGAUUUUCAGAGUCGUGUAAACGUUACCUACCUGGCACACAUGAAUGAAUCAACUAUACUAAUCUUAUUUGGGUGAGGGUUCCCGACAUGAAUGAAUCAACUAUACUAAUCUUAUUUGGGUGAGGGUUCCCGACAUGAAUGAAUCAGCUAUACUAAUCUUAUUUGGGUGAGGGUUCCCGAAAUGAAUGAAUCAACUAUACUAAUCUUAUUUGGGUGAGGGUUCCCGAAAUGAAUGAAUCAACUAUACUAAUCUUAUUUGGGUGAGGGUUCCCGACAUGAAUGAAUCAGCUAUACUAAUCUUAUUUGGGUGAGGGUUCCCGACAUGAAUGAAUCAACUAUACUAAUCUUAUUUGGGUGAGGGUUCCCGAAAUGAAUGAAUCAACUAUACUAAUCUUAUUUGGGUGAGGACACCUGACAUGAAUGAAUCAACUAUACUAAUCUUAUUUGGGUGAGGGUUCCCGACAUGAAUGAAUCAACUAUACUAAUCUUAUUUGGGUGAGGGUUCCCAACAUGAAUGAAUCAACUAUACUAAUCUUAUUUGGGUGAGGAUCCCCAAUAUGAAUGAAUCAACUAUACUAAUCUUAUUUGGGUGAGGGUUCCCGACAUGAAUGAAUCAACUAUACUAAUCUUAUUUGGGUGAGGACACCCGACAUGAAUGAAUCAACUAUACUAAUCUUAUUUGGGUGAGGGUUACCGAAAUGAAUGAAUCAACUAUACUAAUCUUAUUUGGGUGAGGGUUCCCGAAAUGAAUGAAUCAACUAUACUAAUCUUAUUUGGGUGAGGACACCCGACAUGAAUGAAUCAACUAUACUAAUCUUAUUUGGGUGAGGACACCCGACAUGAAUGAAUCAACUAUACUAAUCUUAUUUGGGUGAGGGUUACCGAAAUGAAUGAAUCAACUAUACUAAUCUUAUUUGGGUGAGGGUUCCCGAAAUGAAUGAAUCAACUAUACUAAUCUUAUUUGGGUGAGGGUUCCCGACAUGAAUGAAUCAACUAUACUAAUUUUAUUUGGGUGAGGGUUCCCAACAUGAA